UUCUUCCCUCAAUUUCUGAUGGGUUUUCUUUUUCUUUAAAGAAAGAAAGAGAUUGAAGGACCAAAGAAAGAAAUAAAGAAUUUAUUCUAACAUAUUGUGGAUUCUAAAUAAAGAAUUUAGAACAAUCCAAUUACUGCAACUCAUCGUCAUUUAGUUUCACAUUUGAUUGGUUUUGUUUUAACCAUUUAUCAAGUGAUCCCAACUAAUAAAAGAAUAGAAGUUCUCUGGUUCUCUCGAAGAUCUGUGUCAAUUGGUCUUUCUCUUUCUUUCUCUAUC
rnacentral:lncRNA from 1 species